UCUAGGGUAAAUAUAUAGAUACAAGUAGGUAUGAUGUAAGUUUAUAUGUACUCAUAUAAAGACGACUCAUUUUAAUAUGACGAGUUUAAAUAAUUAGGUAUAUACUUAGUGCACAACUUUGGUAGGUAUAUAGAUUUAUAAUGUCAUUCUCUUAAUAAUUAUGUUAUGUUACCUACUGCUUAAUUAGUGUACUUAACUUAGUGUACUUAACGCGUUUUUUAGGGUUCCGUAGCCAAAUGGUAAAAAACGGAACCCUUAUAGAUUCAUCAUGUCUGUCUGUCCGUCCGUCCGUCCGUAUGUCACAGCCAUUUAUUUCCGAAACUGUUGGGUCUACAUAGUUGAAACUCUGUAGGUUCAGCUAACAUAUCCGUUAUGGGUGUCUAUGGAUAGGUCUUUAAUAAAGACAUUAAGGUUCCUAAAACCAUUUUUCGUCGAAAUCAACCGUUUGAAAGUUAGACGCUCCCAAAGUGGAAAAAUGAGUAAAAAAGUAUUGAUAUAUUUUUUAUAGAUAAUUUAAUGAUCUACAAUUUUAGUCUGAGGUAUUUUUCUGAUAAAACUUACUGUUUUGCUGAAAAUCGCGAAAAACUAAUUUUUUUGACAUUUGACCUUGAAUAAUUUUUUUUCCACACACGGGAAUGAUGGGGAACUUUCACCUAUUGUUUAUAAUCGUGUUUUGAACAAUUGUACCGAAAUUCAGCUUGUUGCGAAUUUAUGUAAUUUCACCCUAAUAUUUUGGUCUAAUUUGACCGGACUAAUAAUAAUUAUACACAAUUGUUGAUUUUUUAUAUAUUUUUAAGUUUCACGUGACGGUUUCAAUUACAAGGCUGUUAAUGAGCAUAAUAAAUAAAUACGAUUGUUGAUUUUUUAUAUUUUUAAGUUUCAUGUGUCAUUUUACAAAUACAAGGCUGAUAUUGAGCAUAAUAAUUAUAAACAAAUGUUGAUUUUUUAUAUAUUUUUAAGUUUCACGUGACGGUUUCAAUUACAAGGCUGUUAAUGAGCAUAAUAAAUAAAUACGAUUGUUGAUUUUUUAUAUUUUUAAGUUUCAUGUGACAUUUUACAAAUACAAGGCAACUAUUUUAAGAAUAUGAAAGUGUAUAAAUAAUAUCACUAAAAUCUGUACCUAUUUAGCAGUUUUCAAAUUUGAUUACCUAAUACAUAAAUUAACUCGAUAAGUUACAUUAUUCAGCUACAUCCCUAAUCCUAAACGAGAGAUUAAAAAAAUGGAUAGUUGCCCGCGCCAUUGGCAUGUAUACAUGCCAAUGGCGCGUAACUGAUAGAUAAUAGUGCUGUAACUUGCUGCAAUUUUAUAUGUAUUUUUGUGUCUCAAAAGGUUGAUAUUUUAUUGAUAGUUGCUAUUAAUGUGGUCUUAAGUUUAUUACAGUGGGAGAUUAGGUUAAAUAAAUAUUCUUUUUAUGUUAUAAGCAGUUUAUUCAAAAAAAUUCAGACGAAAAUUAUUACUCACUUUGGUUUAUCGAUAACAUUUUGGAAUCCCUAAUAUUUUCAAGGUUAUUUCGUUGAAUUUGUGGCUUGGCGUGGAGGGCACAGCGAAGCGUUUAUGCUCUGGCGGUCAAAAGGUUAAUGUGUUUUUUUUUAAUAGAUAGUGAUUCAAGAGGAUGUGUAUAAUACAUGCAUAACAUAUCACCAUUGCACCUAUGCAAGCUCAGGCGGGUUGCUAGUUAUGUUAUAUUUUGCUAUGUACUUUUUAUUGCCACACGAGAAAGGAAUUGGGAAUGCAGGGGGAAUUAGGCUAUCGAAUACCGCAUUCCAGUGAUGUGUUGUCUUAACCUUUUGAACGCCAGAGCGUAAACACAUCGGCGCCCCUUCUACGCCAAGCCACAAAUUCAGUACAAAAACCUACAAAAAAAAUAGUGAUUCCAACAUCUUAACGAAAAGUUAUCGAUAACCAAUGAAUCCGUGCUUUUCGUUCUAUAUUUUUUAAAUAAAUAUUAUUCGUUGCA